UACGAAGGGGGCUAGCGUUGUUCGGAUUUACUGGGCGUAAAGCGCACGUAGGCGGAUUGGUCAGUUAGGGGUGAAAUCCUGGAGCUCAACUCCAGAACUGCCUUUAAUACUGCCAGUCUCGAGUCCGGAAGAGGUAAGUGGAACUCCUAGUGUAGAGGUGGAAUUCGUAGAUAUUAGGAAGAACACCAGUGGCGAAGGCGGCUACUG
rnacentral:rRNA from 1 species